rnacentral:lncRNA from 1 species
CAGUUAUUGGUUUAGGGUAUACAUUCCUUGUACAAUAAAUCAAUAUGCCCAAUAGGGCUACAAAAAUGUCCAUUUAAGGAAGUUCAAAUAAUGGAAUAAACAUAACUAAACAUCCUAUAGGUUUAACCUCCGCUGGGCAACUCUGAUGGGAUGCAGAAGGCAGCUUUUAUUCACAACUUUCUUGCUGUUCAAGAUCUGGAUCUUGAUCUUUCU